rnacentral:tRNA from 1 species
GCAUCGGUGGUUCAGUGGUAGAAUGCUCGCCUGCCACGCGGGCGGCCCGUGGUCAAUUCCCGGACGAUGCA